AGACUUAUGUGGCCCGGUCAGCUCCCUCCCACCACCAACCAUCGCCGCUCCUUCAACCCACGUCUUUCCUUCUCGCUCUUCCCGCUAAAACAAUAGACCCCAUAAUAACAUCACUCCACCCCAAAACUCGAAACCUCAAUGGCGGAAUUCUCAAUUCGACCCCAUAAUAACCCCUUUCUCCGUCAUUCGCUUGAUUUCUCAUUCCCAUCUCCUUCGAUUAAGCAUCUGAUUUCACUGUGGCACCAAGGAGAAAGAAAAUGUCAAGGUCAACGAAGAGAUUUCCCCUGUUCUUUUCGGGCUCCGUGUCGAUGAAUCGGGGCGAAUUGGGUCUAUUAAGAGAUCUGAAAACGAUUCGAGCUAUGGAAAUGGAGUGGAUGAAGUGGGGUUUGAUUCGAAUUGGCCGCCGUGGAAGAAUGUUCCUGAUGGAUAUAAAUUGAUUGGAACCCUGACGCUUGCCUUCAUUAUUUGCAACAUGUAUAAGAUCAUUGGUUGCUAGAUUUCCAAUGUCGCGCCUGCUUGGGUGGAAUUCUUUGCUUUGUCCCAGUUGCCUGGUCGGUGGCUUGCCAAGAUCUUUGGAGGGAGUUGGUUGCAGGUUACAGUACCGAGAGCCUUCAGUAAAGGAAUUAUUUUCUUCGGUGAAAGAAGAAGGAUGGACAGUUGCUACGGGGAAGCUUAACUCACGGUCAGGCACGGGAUGAUCUGUAGGUGGUCUAUUAUUACAUGCCGGCUUUGUCUCCUAAUUCCUUGUCUUAUAAAAAAUGAUUAGGAAAUUAAAAUAAAAAAAUUUAAUAUUUUAAGUUUAGAGAUUAAAAUAUAAAUUGAUAAUUUACAUAAUAUUUUGUAUCUUACACGUUGCUUGUAAGAUCAUUUUCAUAAAAUUAAAAAAAAUAAAAAAUCGAGGAUUUUUCUAAAAUUAGAAUUUUUUUAAUUAUAUAAAUACAAAAAUUGUUAUAAUAUUAGUUGGAAAAAUGAUUUCACGUGUCCCCACCUCAAACUCAACCAAAUAAUAAUAAUAAUAAAAAAGAACUUGUCAGUCGAUCAUUAAUGGCUCCUGCGAUUUUUGUUC